AAAUGUUACAGCCCUUUUAGAAUUUGUCUAUCAGGUCCUUACUGGAAGACUCCCCC
rnacentral:snRNA from 1 species